rnacentral:rRNA from 1 species
AUUGAACGCUGGCGGCAUGCCUUACACAUGCAAGUCGAACGGCAGCACGGGAGCAAUCCUGGUGGCGAGUGGCGAACGGGUGAGUAAUAUAUCGGAACGUGCCCAGUCGUGGGGAGUAACGUAGCGAAAGACUACGCUAAUACCGCAUACGAUCUAUGGAUGAAAGACGGGGGAGUCGCAAGACCUCGCGCGAUUGGAGCGGCCGAUAUCAGAUUAGGUAGUUGGUGAGGUAAAGGCUCACCAAGCCGACGAUCUGUAGCUGGUCUGAGAGGACGACCAGCCACACUGGGACUGAGACACGGCCCAGACUCCUACGGGAGGGCAGCAGUGGGGGAAUUUUUGGAC